UAGCUUUGAAGGGCUGAUGCCAGCGUCCCACUACUUAUCAAAAAUUCUUCUAAUUUUCUAUAAGAUGUAUUCAAAUUGAGAUAAACAAUUAUAUUGUUAAAAGAUGAUAAGCUUUUUCCAUUAAUCACCUGUUGAUCAAGGUCAAGAGCCGAUGCGUAAAAGCUCCGAGAAUAACUCUCACGUUUUCUAUGCUGCAUAUAUAGAAGUGUUGUACAAGGCAAAGUCCUUAUAGUUUAAGAUCGGCAGGUAAGAAAAACCGGUCAUAAAAAGUGGUACGUUUAUGGAUAAUUUUAAAUAGUUAUAUCAAGUAUUGGUAUAAUAGUAUUGUAUAUAUAAGUGCAUUCUUAACUUUCAUUCUGUUUAGUUUAAUUUCUGAUUACGAG
rnacentral:lncRNA from 1 species